UUAGCAUGGCUGUAUGGUAAUUUGAGUUUCACUUUACCUUAAUUGGUACACGUGACAAGAAACUAACCUUUG